GCCCUCCUUCGCUUUGCAAAAAGCCACAGAGUUGGGUCGAUCACGGAGACCUGGGGCUGCUCCUUCUCACAGGAACCUUGGAUUCCCUCAUGGACCAGCCAGGAGCUCCGUGCUGCAACGCUGCCAGGCUGCUGAGAUGAAAAUGGGCUUCCCUGCAUGGCUUCUCACCCAUGGAUGGAAAUGAUUUGGGGUCUGCCUUCAUGCCAGUUAACACUUCUUGGUACUUGACUUGGUUUCUGCUGGGAGGUUUCUUCCCCUCGGAAGGAUCCGCUGGGGCUCCUUGUCAGAUCAGUUCUUGGGUGGAGCUUGCAGCAACUUCUGGAAAGUGCUGAGCUCUCCUGACAGCAGGGCUUGGUGGGGCUCAGGGCAGAGCUCAGCUCUGGGGAACUUGGGCUGGCAAGCAGAGAGCUCCCUGUGCUGCCAGGGAUGCCCAGAGCGGGUGCACACACCACAGGGUCCUUUUUCACAGGGCCAUUUUGCUCUUGCUUUUAACCCAGACGCUCUGUCCGUGCAAGACUGACAAUAAAUAACCCUCUCGAGCGCUGUGGAGAGAUGGAAACUGCAGCUGAGGAAUGAUUUUGGGGAGAGGAAGACAGAAAAGCACAAGCAAACUGUUAUGGAGGUGCAAAUACUCUUCUAAAGGAUUCGGCAAAUGCACCACGCUCUGUCUCCAAAUCAGCCCUUGGAUUUCCUGCUGUGAGCUGCAUGAAGAUGUUUUGUGGCUGUUUUCUGCCCAGACCUGGGUUUUUCACACCCUAACCUAAGCCAGAAUGCUUCUGCUGUGCCCAUUGACCUCUUUGCUGGUGCGGGCUAUGGGGUCUGGCUGUAGCCCCAGCAAGGGAGAUUUCUCUUCAGAGGAAACCUGGUAACCCUUUGGAGGGAGUGCCUGGGAAUGAGCAGGAGCUGCUGAGCAGAGCUCUGCUGCAGGUUGGUGAUGUGGAUGUUUAAUUUCUGCCUCACAAACCCUGUGAAACGCCGGCUCCCGGCGCUGUGCCUUGGGUGUGGUCCCAGAUCUACCCAGAGAGAAGUGGAGAGAAGUCCCCAAAGAGCCAAAACAGAGCUCAGGAAGCAUCAGA
rnacentral:lncRNA from 1 species